CACAAACACACGCCGCAUGUAUAUGUAUGUAUGUAUGUAUGUAUGUAUAUAUAUAUAUAUAUAUAUACAUAUAUAUAUACACACACAUACAUACAUACUGCUGUGUGUGUGUUUG